rnacentral:rRNA from 1 species
UACGUAGGGUGCAAGCGUUAAUCGGAAUUAUUGGGCGUAAAGCGUGCGCAGGCGGUUCUAUAAGACAGAUGUGAAAUCCCCGGGCUCAACCUGGGAACUGCAUUUGUGACUGUAGAGCUGGAGUACGGCAGAGGGGGAUGGAAUUCCGCGUGUAGCAGUGAAAUGCGUAGAUAUGCGGAGGAACACCGAUGGCGAAGGCAAUCCCCUGGGCCUGUACUGACGCUCAUGCACGAAAGCGUGGGGAGCAAACAGG